rfam:Blastocystis hominis, Singapore isolate B (sub-type 7) whole genome shotgun sequence assembly, scaffold_7
GCCCGUCUAGCUCAGUCGGUAGAGCGCCAGGCUCUUAACCUGGUGGUCGGGGGUUCGAGCCCCCCGGUGGGCG